rnacentral:rRNA from 1 species
AAGUCGGGAACUCUAGCAAGACUGCCAGUGCAAACUGUGAGGAAGGUGGGAUGACGUCAAAUCAUCACGGCCCUUACGCCUUGGGCUACACACGUGCUACAAUGGACGGUACAGAGAGCAGCCACUACGCAAGUAGGCGCGAAUCUUCAAAGCCGUUCUCAGUUCGGAUCGGAGUCUGCAACUCGACUCCGUGAAGCUGGAUUCGCUAGUAAUCGCAGAUCAGCCAUGCUGCGGUGAAUACCGUUCCCGGGCCUU